rnacentral:rRNA from 1 species
UACCUGGCUCAGGAUGAACGCUGGCGGCGUGCUUAACACAUGCAAGUCGAGCGAAGCACUCUGUCUGAUUCUUCGGAUUGAAGACAGUUUGACUGAGCGGCGGACGGGUGAGUAACGCGUGGGGAACCUGCCUUACACAGGGGGAUAACAGUUAGAAAUGGCUGCUAAUACCGCAUAACCCGCUGGGGUCGCAUGACUCUGACGGAAAAGAUUGUAUCGGUGUAAGAUGGACCCGCGUCUGAUUAGCUGGUUGGUGAGGUAACGGCUCACCAAGGCGACGAUCAGUAGCCGACCUGAGAGGGUGAUCGGCCACAUUGGGACUGAGACACGGCCCAAACUCUUACGGGAGGCAGCAGUGGGGAAUAUUGCACAAUGGGGGAAACCCUGAUGCAGCAACGCCGCGUGAGUGAAGAAGUAUUUCGGUAUGUAAAGCUCUAUCAGCAGGGAAGAAAUUGACAGUACCUGACUAAGAAGCCCCGGCUAACUACGUG